UCACACUAACAAAUGUUUUAAAACUACAAAAACUAAAUCCAAUUAACAAUGAAAAGAUAAUAAGAAAUGGGUAAAAUAUCUCAAUUGCUACCGAACUUUUUCAAAUAUUUUCCAAUAGCCAUUGAAAUAUAAAAGUUCCCAAAGUUGCCACAGAAUUUUUCGACAAGUUUCACAGUUUCAUUGAACGUUGUCCAAGUUACCUUUGAACUUAUAAAAAUAUUAUCAUAUUCGUCGCUUUGUCACUCGCUAUUUUAAAGCUUAAGGGAAUAGAUAACAUGGUAUGCAUAAUGAUGAACGUGAUAACAUUUUGGCACGUUCCUCAAGAUUGUUAAGUUUUCAAAUGAUGAGUGAUGGAGUGACUAAUGAAAUAACAUUUUGGUAAACUCAGUGGCUACUCAGAGAACUUUGAAUGUUCAGUGAAAUUAAUAAUAUUUGGGAGAGUCCAAUAACAAAUUUUGAGAACUUUUAAAGUUAUUCAUUUGGGAAAGGUCAAUGACAACUUGAAGAACUUAUAAAGUCAUACAGUUGGAAAAGUUCAAUGACAACAAUAAUAUUUAACCCAAGAAAAUAAGAAAGUGGGCUUAUCGGUAUCCAUCUUCAUGACAAGCCACAACACAUUUGUCAAAAAACUGUAAAAUGCCUAUUUGAUAACCUAAGUUCAUUUAGAUUUUCCAUUAGCAUAAAAGUAUUUGUUAUAUCUAACUAUUUUAUCCUCGCCUGGGAAGAAUUUUUGAACGAUUCAAUUUAUAAAUAUAUAGAAAUGAAUGGUAAAUAAGUGGCUAGUACUUGUGGAUCCAUUGAAAUAUGUUGUUGAAAAUGAAAUUUGAUUAUUUAUAACUUAUUUAUAUUUUUCCGGAGGCUUAAAUAUAGAGUUUUGGCAUAAACUUUUGAUACGACACUACAUAACAAAUUGAAAUGGAUUUAAUAUAUAAAGUAAGUUCAAGAGAUCUAGUAACAUACCAUUGAAGCUGUUGUCUACCAAAUAUAAACGCACAAGUGUUGAUAAGUUUCCAAUUUCAUUUGGAAUAUUUCCUGGCAAUCCAUUUAAACAUAUUGAUUUUAAAAUAUCAAACGUCAAAUUAACAUGAAUUAGAUCUAAUGGGAAAAGAAAUACCAACCAAUUUGAAAUUUUUUACCUACGAAGUUAUUGCCUGUUAAAUCUAACACUUGAAGUGCUGAUAAGGUUUCAAUUUCAUUUGGAAUACUUCCCAUGAAAUUGUUGUUAGAGAUGUCUAGAACUUGAAGUGCACGACAUUGCAAUAGACUUGGAAGUAUCUCUCCGUGAAAUUUGUUUUCACCGAGGUCUAAAUAUUCAAUCAUUGUAGCUCGGUUGCAUGGAUGUUGCAGAAACUUUCCAGAAAUUUGGUUACCUCUGACAGAUAUUUUCAGGAGAGAAGAGAUAUUGAAGAUGGUCGAAGGUAUGUCUCCUGCAAAACAUACCUUGAUAAUCACAUAAUCCCAGAGAUUCAAACGCACUGGCACGUGCACAUAGUAUCCCUUUUACAGUUACUAAGUUGACAUUUACCAAAAUUAAUAAGAGCAAAAUCACCGAUUAACAUCAAGGGCAGAUCCAGAAUUAUAAUUCGAUGGGGACGAGACAAAAAAUGAACUAAAAUAAAUUGUGAAAGAAACUAAAAAAAAUCUGAAAAUUUAAAUUUUAAAAAGCCCAAUUGAAGGUUUUUGAAAAUUCAGUGAGGGUGACUGACCCCAUUCUACCCUCAGUGGGUCCGCCCCUUAUUAACAUGGAUGGAGCUAUAAGAUUUUGUAAAUAUGUAGGCGUAUUAUUGCUAUGUUAUGCAAGUGGGUUGUUCCACUCUUGACCAAGUAGAAACAAGUAGAAAUUUUAUCCAUUGUAUCCCAUCAAGUGAUAUUGAAUAUUGCAUCCUACAAUUAUUAUUAUUAUUAUUAUUUUUUAUUUUUUUUUAAGGAGCAUGUGAUGAUAACUAAUUCUUUGUAUCAAUUUUCUAUAAGGCACGAGGCAUGACAAAGCAGCAAUAUCAAAACUCAAGUUUUACGAGCCCACACGUGUAAAUUUUGAGAACUUUUAAAGUUAUUCAUUUGGGAAAGGUCAAUGACAACU
rnacentral:lncRNA from 1 species